ACCACUAAACUUAAUCGAGUACUUGUUUCUCAACCGCUGAUCUCAAAUGUCAACUUUCCAAUGCUCUUGAUUUAUCUUCGUCUCUUCUUUUUUGAUUAUUUCCACUCUCUUUUUCUGUCUCCCCAACCCACUGAUUAAUUAAUCUACUGCUUGUGUGGAGUUAUCAUCCACAGAUGCCGUUAGAUAGAGAUGCCAUUAACUGAUUGCACAUAUUGUGGAUAUGCUUUGUGAAAUGAGAGUAAAUAGUUUGUAGAUUUUCUGUCCGUUUCUUAUUACUCUAACAAUUGCACAUAAUACAGUGGUUCAAAUGUCCAUUUCGUUUGCAGUUUUAGCAACAAAAGGAGGAGAUACAUUGAGGGAUGCGUUUCCAUCUCACCGAACAGUUACGGUAUAUCGACUCGCCUUUGGGAAUAGAUUGAAUCGGGUAAGCUCCG
rnacentral:lncRNA from 1 species